AAACAUACCAGGUGAUCCAUGUAGCAUCACGCAUGUAGAACUAUACUUCAGUUACACAUGCAUGGAGGCACAUUUAGACUAUGUUGAAACCCAAAGUCGGUAUUUUGUCUCUGGUUCCAAACAACCAACAAUCCAAAUGACUUUUGAGAAUCCAAUUCAUUGACAAAUUUGGGUUUGUCUAUGCCUGUAUUCGUUAUAAAAUUAUCAAGAAGACUAAUGAGGUAGUAUAUUUGGAAGAACUUUGAGAGCCUACUUAAGAAAGCAUUACAUAAGUGCAAAGUAUUGUAAAGAAGUGAUGGUGGGAAAUGUGUUGGCUGAGGAAAUAAUUGGCAAUAGGGAGAGGCAACAUUUCUUGCAGCUGGACAGAAAAUGUUGUCAGGGAAUACUGAGCCAGGUGAAUGGAAAAAGGAUUUAGGUUUAUUGGAGGAGGAUGACAAGUGCCAGCAACUUGGAAAGAAGUGGAAAACAGAUUUGACUGUUUGGAAAAUAUUCUUCGAGAGUACAUGAUGAUAUUUGCAGAUUGUCAACUGGACAUUCACCCUAAGUUUCCCAAGUGCCAACUCUUUGCCUUUGAAUUUGAGUCAACAUAUGUUAUGGUGCAAUGAUGGUAAAAUUUGAUAUCACUAAGGAACUUAUUGCUUUUAGGAGACUUUUAAAACUACAUGAAGAUAUCCAAUAUCAAGCAAUCUUCCAUUAAUGAAGCAAUUACUGGAACAGGCUUUCACUGGGAUGUGGAGUCAAACACACUGCUUGCAGAACAACCCCUAACCAAUACAAGGCCAGGGAAUGAAAACAGGAUCUGCUCUGAAAAUGACAUCUAGAGGAUACUUAUUUGAGUGGCUCUUGUCAAACGAAGAUACAAUUAACUGUAAUGGUGGAAAACUGCCUGAUUAGAUUAUGGCACCGUCAGUGUCCUACAGAAAGGCUGGCAGACGCAUUGAGAGUGAUUGCCUGACCGCUAGCAAAAUAGAUCUCCUUUUCAAGGUAGAAGUAACUCCCACAUAGCUGAAAAG